UACGUAGGGGGCUAGCGUUGUCCGGAAUCAUUGGGCGUAAAGAGCGUGUAGGCGGCCCGGUAAGUCCGCUGUAAAAGUCAAAGGCUCAACCUUUGAAUGUCAGUGGAUACUGCCGGGCUAGAGUCCGGAAGAGGCGAGUGGAACUCCUGGUGUAGCGGUGGAAUGCGCAGAUAUCAGGAGGAACACCGGUGGCGAAGGCGGGUCUCUGGGCAACAACUGACGCUGAGGAGCGAAAGCGUGGGGAGCAAACAGG
rnacentral:rRNA from 1 species